rnacentral:rRNA from 1 species
GAUGAACGCUGGCGGCGUGCUUAACACAUGCAAGUCGAACGAAGCAUUUAAGACAGUUUACUUCGGUUUGAGGUCUUUUAUGACUGAGUGGCGGACGGUUGAGUAACGCGUGGGUAACCUGCCUCAUACAGGGGGAUAGCAGCUGGAAACGGCUGGUAAUACCGCAUAAGCGCACAGUACCACAUGGUCCAGUGUGAAAAACUCCGGUGGUAUGAGAUGGACCCGCGUCUGAUUUGCUUGUCGGCGGGGUAACGGCCCACCAAGGCGACGAUCAGUAGCCGAGCUGUGAGAGUGGCCGGCCACACUGGGACUGGGCCACGGCCCGGACUCCUACAGGAGGCAGGAGUGGGGAAUAUUGCACAAUGGAGGAAGCUCUGAUGCCGCGACGGCGCGAGAGUGAAUAAGUAGUUAGCGAAGUGAAGCUGGAUAAGCAGGGAAGGUAGUGACGGUACCUGACGAAGAAGCACCGGCUAAAUACGUG